GAUGAACGCUGGCGGCGUGCCUAAUACAUGCAAGUCGAGCGAACAGACGAGGAGCUUGCUCCUCUGACGUUAGCGGCGGACGGGUGAGUAACACGUGGAUAACCUACCUAUAAGACUGGGAUAACUUCGGGAAACCGGAGCUAAUACCGGAUAAUAUAUUGAACCGCAUGGUUCAAUAGUGAAAGACGGUUUUGCUGUCACUUAUAGAUGGAUCCGCGCCGCAUUAGCUAGUUGGUAAGGUAACGGCUUACCAAGGCGACGAUGCGUAGCCGACCUGAGAGGGUGAUCGGCCACACUGGAACUGAGACACGGUCCAGACUCCUACGGGAGGCAGCAGUAGGGAAUCUUCCGCAAUGGGCGAAAGCCUGACGGAGCAACGCCGCGUGAGUGAUGAAGGUCUUCGGAUCGUAAAACUCUGUUAUUAGGGAAGAACAAAUGUGUAAGUAACUAUGCACGUCUGGACGGUACCUAAUCAGAAAGCCACGGCUAACUAC
rnacentral:rRNA from 1 species